rnacentral:rRNA from 1 species
GAUGAACGCUGACAGAAUGCUUAACACAUGCAAGUCAACUUGAAUUUGGGUUUUUAUCUUAGGUUUGGGUGGCGGACGGGUGAGUAACGCGUAAAGAACUUGCCUCACAGCUAGGGACAACAUUUGGAAACGAAUGCUAAUACCUAAUAUUAUGAUAAUAGGGCAUCCUAUAAUUAUGAAAGCUAUAAGCGCUGUGAGAGAGCUUUGCGUCCCAUUAGCUAGUUGGAGAGGUAACGGCUCACCAAGGCGAUGAUGGGUAGCCGGCCUGAGAGGGUGAUCGGCCACAAGGGGACUGAGACACGGCCCUUACUCCUACGGGAGGCAGCAGUGGGGAAUAUUGGACAAUGGACCGAGAGUCUGAUCCAGCAAUUCUGUGUGCACGAUGAAGUUUUUCGGAAUGUAAAGUGCUUUCAGUUGGGAAGAAACAAAUGACGGUACCAACAGAAGAAGUGACGGCUAAAUACGUG